AAAGCUAUAAUUAAAACAUACGAAGUAUUUAUUACGAAUAACAUUAUUUCUAAUUUCUAGGCUUCACUUUAAUUUUCACUUUAAUCACGGUUAACUUUAAUUUUUUACUCUUGAAUAAUGAUCAUAACUUCAUAGAAUUAAAGCUUGGAGGUUGGAGGCUGAACGGAACCUGUAUAAGUAUUGUGCUCUGUGAACCUGUAAACCUGUAAUAACGACACAGCAUCGACAGCCCCACGACAGGUCGACAGCACCAGUAUAUAAGUGUAUAAUCUAUGGACAGCACUACACUCGACAGCACAGUAUGAUGAUAAUUUAUGUCUCAGUACGAAUUAGUAAAUUUAGUUUUUGUAACAACAUUACUGAAAAUGAUUGCCUUUUAUAAAUAAAUCGAAUUUUAAGUGAAA